AUUGAACGCUGGCGGCAGGCCUAACACAUGCAAGUCGAACGAGUGGCGGACGGGUGAGUAAUGUCUGGGAAACUGCCUGAUGGAGGGGGAUAACUACUGGAAACGGUAGCUAAUACCGCAUACCAUCAGAUGUGCCCAUAUGGGAUUAGCUAGUUGGUGGGGUAACGGCUCACCAAGGCGACGAUCCCUAGCUGGUCUGAUAGGUUGACCAGCUACUCUGUGACUGAGACACGGUCCAGACGCGUACGGGAGGCAGCAGUGGGGAAUAUUGCACAAUGGGCGCAGGCCUGAUGCAGCCAUGCCGCGUGUAUGAAGAAGGCCUUCGGGUUGUAAAGUACUUUCAGCGGGGAGGCGUUACCCGCAGAAGAAGCACCGGCUAACUCCGUGCCAGCAGCCGCGGUAAUAC
rnacentral:rRNA from 1 species